AUCUUGAAAACGGAAAAUAAAAACAGCAGACCUAUGAAGGUCGAAGGGGAAGAAAAGCUGUAUCGAUUGUUGAGAUCUGGCGACUUGUUUAAAUUUCAUCAGCCUCACUUCUAUGAACUCUCAGGCCUCACGUGUACCAGCUCUCUGCUCUCCUUUGCCUUGGGACGUUCCAUCCCUGGAAGUUUCCCUGCCCACAUCUUUGUAGAGAGUCCAUUCUCCAAGCUUCAGUGUGUCAUCUGUGAGGACCGUGACCCACCUGGUACAUCGCCUCAGGGCAUUCAUUUCAGGCUCCUUCUAAAUGGCCAAGGUGUCGACCACAACAACAAAAGUUUCAGGAGACUUACUAUGUGCUCAACAUUGUAUUAGGUAUUAUGGUUGACCCUAAAGAAGCAUCAGCUUGGCUUUGCACCAAAGAAGUUUUUAGUCAAGUUGGAGAGAGAUCACUACUCAAAGAACGCAAGAGACUAAUGGAAGACAGAAUAUAUUGGCAGCAGACUAAAAGGCAGAAUGGUCACACUUCAAAAUGUUUGGUACAAGCUAUGGUGAUGUUAUUGAUCUUCUGAUUUGAUGUUCCUGUGAAGGUUCUAUGACCUAUUUUGAUAUGUAGACAGUGGUAAAAUGCUCAAAGCUCUUUGCUACGAUAUGUAAUAACAAAGGGAACAGUAAAAAAUAUUCUGUUUAAAUAAGCCAGAUCACUUUUACAUGUGAUGGCCAAGCCAUGCAGGGGAGGAGGUGCUGAGCCUGGUUCUGUUAGUAACUGAGUGGUAGCUGAAGAAGACAAAUCUAACCAGGCAUGGCAAGUCCGUGGAUGCCAUGAGAGCCUGUGCAUUUAGAACUAGGGCACACUAACAGAGAUCAAACUAAGUUUUUCCACUAACAUCAGACCUUUGCAAUUUAAUGAUUAUAAAACUUUCCUAACAUUUGCAAGUUUCUAAACAUUUAUUUUCUUUUAUUCUGUGCAAUUCCUAUUACCAUUGAAAUUAUUUAGGUCACAUAUUUUUGUGUUAUUUAAGUAACACUCAAAGACAAAACCAAGAAAUUCUUUUUCUACUUUUAACCAUCCUGAUUGGAUAGUUUAUAUUUAUAUCAAGUUCUAAUCUCCUAAAAUUUUUAGUGUGUUUAAUAAUGAAUCUUUGAAGAAUAUGAUACACUUGUGUAAUAGCUUUUUCAUAUAAUAAAAUUUUCCAAAGUAAAUAACCUGACAAAUUAAAAAAAACUCAUACAUUAAAUGUAAAGUACUAUUUUGUUAUAAUCAUAGAAUUUAAUAAAUUAAAAGGAUUUUAGAGAA
rnacentral:lncRNA from 1 species